rnacentral:rRNA from 1 species
AUUGAACGCUGGCGGCAGGCCUAACACAUGCAAGUCGAGCGAGCGGCGGACGGGUGAGUAAUGUAUGGGGAUCCUCCCUAUAGAGGUGGAGAACCAUCGGAAACGCUAGCCUAUAACGCAUAUUACCGGAUCUACUCAUUUGGGAUUAGCUAGUUGGUGUGGUAAUGGCUAUCCAAGGCGACGAUCCCUAGCUGGCCUGAGAGGCUGAUCAGCCACACUGGAACUGAGACACGGCCCAGACUCCUACGGGAGGCAGCAGUGGGGAAUAUUGCGCAAUGGGCGCAAGCCUGAUGCAGCCAUGCCGCGUGAAUGAAGAAGGCCCUAGGGUUGUAAAGUACUGUUAGUCGGGAGGCGUUACCGAAAGAAGAAGCACCGGCUAACUACGUGCCAGCCGCCGCGGUAAUUC